rnacentral:rRNA from 1 species
CCUACGGGGGGCAGCAGUGGGGAAUAUUGCACAAUGGGGGAAACCCUGAUGCAGCGACGCCGCGUGAGGGAUGAAGGUCUUCGGAUCGUAAACCUCUGUCAGCAGGGACGAACGGUCACUGUGCUAAUCAUCAGUGAAUUGACGGUACCUGCAAAGUAAGCACCGGCUAACUCCGUACCAGCAGCCGCGGUAAUACGGAGGGUGCGAGCGUUAAGCGGAAUUACUGGGCGUAAAGCGCUCGUAGGAGGUAUGUCAAGUCAAGGGUGAAAUCCCCGCGCUCAACUUGGGAACUGCGUUUGAAACUGGCAAACUGGAGUGUGUGAGAGGAUAGUGGAAUUCCAGGUGUAGGAGUGAAAUCCGUAGAUAUCUGGAGGAACAUCAGUGGCGAAGGCGACUAUCUGGCACAUAACUGACGCUGAGGAGCGAAAGCGUGGGUAGCAAACAGGAUUAGAUACCCUAGUAGUC